GAGUUUUAGAACAUUUCUUAUCUACAGCAUAAAACGCGCGAACCGAUUUGCACCUAUCUCUUUACUUUCUUAUUCAGGCAGGACAGCGGACAGGAGUUACAGAGCAACAGUGCAAGACAAUAAAAUACAAGGACUUUUUUUUAAGUUAACAGAACUAAGCUCCAUCCACAAACAUCAUGAUGCCGAAUAUCUCAACCAGUUUUUCAUUGUGGCUUAUUUGUUGUGUAAAUUUUAUAAACAGCGCUUCUAUUUUUGACACAAACAGACAGACCCAGUCAUCAAUAGAUGAUACAAUGGAAUCGCUACAGCCGAGCGUGCCUUCACGAACGUCAAAAUCAUCACAGAUUCUGGAAGAAGACGCAUUCUCACCGAUAGAAACAUGGCUUUCAUCUGAUGAUAAGACUAAGUCUAAAAUAUUAACAGCGUUUUUACAAGAGUUACCAGUCAUGGCAGAAGAAUAUGACGGGCCAGAAAUAAUUUCUAAACGACACGACUUCGGCUUUAUGGGAAAUCGUGGUAAAAGAAUGCAAGAAAAUAUUGUACACAGUGGCGAAGACUUCAUAAAUGCCAUACGUCCGGGAUUAGACAGAGCUAUUUCACCCCUUGCUAGACUUUUGGAAUCCCGCCGUCAUUCACAAGAAAUGUUAAAUAACAAACGUCAACCUGAUUUUGGUUUCCAUGCUGUACGGGGCUAAGUGUACUGAUGUCUUUGAUGAAAAUUUGAACGUAAAUGGAGUUGAACAGCUUGACCAUAAUAUCAAAAGACCAGUGCUAAGACUUGUGGACACCCAGCCGAGAAAAUGAUGUGCAUAUAAUCCAACAAUUUCUAAUGGCAUUUUUCUCUUUGUCGUCCAUUCACAUCAUAUUUAUAUACUUUUUCAGGACGUUUUAUGUAAUCUAAUAUUGGCCAACAUAAAAUCGAAGUCGACCAUUGUGUUUUCAUGGAAAUAUAUGAUGUGGGUUUGCCAGAAAAGUUGUUCGGCUUGCUCUGGACGAAUUCAAUCAUUCUGAAACUGAAACAGAAUGGAACCUUGGUUACAAAUAUAUAUAUUUAUUUACUUAAAAGGGGCUGUUGAACUUUCACGAUCAAGUUAACUUUUUUCAUUUGGCCAACAAAGUGUAAUAUUAUUUCAUAUUUUAAGUCCAAUUUGCCCAGGGAAUGUUUUGAUUUUAAACCACGAUUUUACUCAAAAUACAUUAUAAUGGAGGUUGUCAUAUUAAACUGGACUAACUUACAUGUGUACAUUAUAUUUCCUUUUCAAAGCGACGAUGCGCCAUUGGGAUUUGUAGCUAAAAUAUAAAAUUGCUCACGACUUAAGCCACGCUAAUAUCUAUUUAGAUUGAUUAUUUAGCUUUUUAUUAAGCAAGCAAAAUCAAAAUUUCAUAGCUAGAUAAUCCCCCGACUGGGAACCAAUUCAAUCGGAUUUGAAACAGGCCUAACAUUAAAUUUUCGUGGACAACAAAAUGGCGACGGGUUCGGGUCUUAUUGACUGGGGGGGGGGGGGCAUAGAUCACUGUAAUUUCGUUUCCACAUAUCUUUGUAAAUACUGAACGGAAUUGAACCAUUUGUGGACUGGUGUUCCCUUCAGAGAUUCGUCUGUCAUUGUAGUGUUAUUCCUAUUGCUUAAAAUGGCGGAACGGGACUUUAAUUGAGACAUAAUAUCUUUUAAUAUUAUUAUUAUACCAGUUAGACACAAUAAUAAUUUUGCAAGACUAAAUAUAGCGAAAUAAGACAAAUAGUUUUCACAUGUAAAUUGGAAUUUGCUUACUUAGCCCCAUAAUUAUUAAACAAUUCUGGCUUCGGUGGCAGUCGAAAAGUGCAUUUACAAUCUACGUGUUUGUGUAUGAAUUUUAAACGAUCUUCAACUUUAUGUAUAUAAUAUCCAUUUUCUAUACAUUCUUCUAUUUUAUGGUCAUUUAUUGACAACGCAGACCUAAUCAAGAACCCAAAACGUCGUAUCCGCAAAGGGCCUAUUGCGGUAACCCGCGAGUUCGUGAAGAUAUUAAGAUUUUAUCCGGUUUGAGUAUUCUUUUAUAGUAUAACUUACGAAAAACCAUUAGGGUCAAUCAGAUGAGAAAAAGAUAAUUCGUAAUUAUGAGAUGACCAAAUUUGUUUCAUUUGAUCGACCCUUAUGGGCUUCCACGUAAGCCGUAAUUAUAAGAUAAUUAAGUCUAAAUUACGAGAUAAUCAGAAAUAUUCAUAAGACUGACCUUUGUGGCCUUUCGUAAUAACUAAAGGUUGAAUUAAAGAAACGUUCUCCUUUAAGGUAAUUAAUAAUUAUUUUGCUCAAUUCACAAUUCAAAAUACAAUAGUUCAGCUGUCUCUUGGGUUUGUGGUGGUUCACUUACUUGAUAUAGAUACAUCUUCUCAAGCAAGUAUUUUAGGUAGGCCUACUGCCGUUCAUCUGCCACUCUCGUAGACAUUAAUUACGCCACUGUUCCUUGCAGUUUAUCUCCGUAAAACAUAAAUAAUCCAUUAAUAGAUAUCGGGAGGCACAAAAUGAACAAAUUUUACUGAAUCACCAAAUUAUGGCCAGUUAGCUGAAUUCAUUUCUAUGAUGGUAGUGUGGUGGACCCUGUUUAAGAGUUAUCUUCUCUUUCCAGAUUUGUAAAUAAUAGAACUUGUGCUUAAAUUGACUUAAUUAUUCUUAUAUUGCUAAAGAUUAUUUUUUCUUUUAAAAAAAUAAAUUAAAAACGGAUGAUUUAUUUUACAUAUUAUCACAUUUUCAUUCCAUGCUUACAUGUUAAUGUUAUCUUUAUGUAUUUAUUAUGUCACGUUUUC